GUCUGAAACACUGCUGGGGGCGUCAUCCUGGAGGAAGAGAGGCCUGGGCUGGAGGCCUGAGGAAGUUGUAAGCGUAACUCAGGUGAGUUCUUCUGUCCUUCUUCAGGUAGCUCACUUAAGGACACUUGGGCCCUUUAUCAGGCUGCCAUUUUUUAAAUUUUUAUUUAUUUAUUUUUGGCUGCAUUUUUGGUCUUCGGGGCUGCACGCAGGCUUUCUCUAGUUGCUACGAGCAGGGGCUACUCUUCCUUGAGGUGUGCGGGCUUCUCACUGUGGUGGCUUCUCUCAUUGCGGAGCACGGGCUCUAGGCACGUGGGCUUCAGUAGUUGUGGCAUGCAGGCUCAGUAGUUGUAGUGCAGGGACUUAGUUGCUCUGUGACAUAGGGGAUCCUCCCAGACCAGGGAUUGAAACCAUGUCCCCUGCAUUGGCAGGCGGAUUCUUCACCACUGCGCCACCCGGCAAGCCCCAGGCUGCCAUUUUCCAAAAGAACUUUACUAAUAAAAGACUUGAAAAGAAAUCAAAGACGCACAGUCUGUUCUAAAAGCAUACCAGUAAAAAACUAGAGUCACUCACACUUUAAUACACUCCUGGUGGAGGUGCAGAUGGACAAAAUCUUUCCCAAAAUGAAGAGAUACCAAGAGUCUUUCGAAGGACAUACCAUUUGACCCAGUGAUUCUGGGUCAUCUCAGAUACAUCUCAGAUUGAGGGGAAAAGGAAAUAGACAAAAAUGUAGAGAUUUAUGUAUAUGGCUGUUAAUUCCAGCAUUGUUUAUAGUAGCAAGUAUGGGUAAUAUCACUGUCCAACGAUGUGGGGGAUGGCUGUUGGAAUUUUAUUCUUUCUUUACAAGUGAUAUUCUCAAAGGAUUCUUAAGGCUAUGGCGUAUUAAGAAUAUGUCUUGUUAACUAAAAGAAGGCAAUUUCAAAACAAAAUAUAUAAUAUACUACCAACAUUUUAAAAGCCAUGUAUAUGCUUAGGGGGAAAAAAGGCAUAGUAAUUUUCCAUAAAUUUUCAGAGAUUUAGGCCAUGGACCCUCUGAAAUCCGUCCUAGGGUUCUAGAUUUAGGUACCCUGGACUAAAAGGGAUAUCUCUGGCUAAUGGGUUUAGAGAAAAUUUUAGUCUUUUUAUGUGCACUUUUCCAAGUGUUUCAAAUUUUCAGUGAAUUGUUUUUAUAAUCUGAACAUUUUCUUUUUAACUUAAUGGCAUUGGAAAAAUUAAGCUGUGGUUUAGGAGAAAAUAAGGAAGAAAAAUGUGUAUGCAGCACAAAUUUUCUUAACCAGGGAUGUGUGUGUUAGAACCACCUGGGGUGCUUUUUCCACAAUACACACCUAUCCCCCACCCCAGAGAUUCUGAUUCAGUAUGAAAAAAAAAAAAUCCUCAGAAUCAUCGGGGCACCCCUGCUUAAGGGUCAUCAAUUUUAAAUAUGUAUGUAUUUCCUAUAUGAAAAAGCAAACUUCAAACCUCCCUCAGCAGUAAUGCCUCUCUGUCUUCAUUUCUUCAUAAUUAAGAUAUUUGAUGAUUCUCAGGUACUUAGCUGCAUUUCUUCACCUCUCUUUUACUUCUUAAUAGCAUGCAUCUCACCAGAAAGCACUAUUCUAACUUAAAUCUUAGAACUCUCUUACCCUUUAAUAUGUCUUGUGUCACUGUUACCAUCUAUAAAGUAUUUUGGAUCGUACUUGCUGGCAGAGCUCUCAGUAUAUAAGCCAUUGCUCCUUUGCCACCAUUUCAGUGAUGUUCAGUACCCAACUAGGAAAAAGUUGUUUUGUAGUCCUUCCUUGGAAAUUUGCCGACAGCGGAAAGACUAAGUCCUAAUUGCCCUCCAAAGCAAGGGUCAAAUUUUAAUACCCUUAACUGGAAAAUUGCAAGACUCAGUUACUUAACUUGGUGAGCAGAACUUGGCAUAAAAGCGACACAAUCAGAUGCCUUUUCUCAGAGGGAGAGCUUUCUACUGGAAAUUGAUUGAGAAGAUGAAGAACAUGCUGACCCAUUGGCUGGAACUUUUCUCCGGGGUUAGAGAGAGUCCCUUUAUGUCUUUAUUUUAUUCAUAUAUUUACGGCACAAAUGGGUGAGCCAAAAGAAGGAACAGACAUUUUUGGGCAAUGGUUCAUCUUUUUUGUCCCCCAGUUGCUUUUCGUUCCAACCUGCAUUGAAAUUUUGAUAUAAGAUUUUGUUGGUUAGCUAACUCGAGUAUCAAGACCUUAAAACAUAGCUUAGCUCACUGACCUACAUUUUAAUCUUUUAAUUGUUGAGACUGUUAUCUGAAGAUCAGGAAAAAGUAAGAAAAUCGAUUUGCCGAUGAACAACUGUUUCAAAUUAUGACUUGGUUGACUUUAAAAACAAAAUAUCAACAUUAGACCUUAACACUUCAACUUGGAACUUGACUUGGGGCUUGACUGAAUUUAUAACCUUAAUUCCAUAGCUUCAUCAUUCCUAGGAGAAAAGGGUCUAUGGACUUGGGUCCAGAGAUUUCAGAUAGGGGUUUGAGAGUAGGGAAAUCGAUGAAGGCAACCGUUUAAAUAUUUGAAGAGAGUCUUUCACUAGACAAACAAAUUUGUUUUUUAAAUGUAGGGGUUGUGACUGAGUUAAACAAAAAUAGAGAUAUAGUAUUUUUAGGUUUCUCUCUGAUAGUUUGGAAAAUCUUUAAAUUCAUCUUGACACAGUAUUAUCUUUACUCUGGAAGCUUUACUUCCUUUCAGUAAUGACAAUACUGGCGAUAACUACAAAUUGUAACCACCUCUGCUGUGAGUCAGAAUCUAGAGACACCGUGUGAGGUUUGGACACACUGGAAGUUUCGGGAAGAAGGUACAGAUGGACCUUGAUUACAUGGAGCAAUCUGGGAAAAUGUGAGUAACAGAAUUCAACAAUUCUAGCUGAUUGCUUCUAUAUUCUAGGUAGUGGAAUAUUGGGGAGACAGUAUAGUGGCACAGUGACUACAAUGGGUCAAUUAAUUAAACUUUCUGGCUGCAUGAGGGUUGGGUACAUGUGCUCAUCUGUGAGGCCGAGCUCUCUCUGAGCUCGGUUCAGGCCUGUGCAUUUUCUGUGUGUGUGUGUGUGUGUGUGUAAUUUUUAAUGGUGCCGAUGAAGACUUAUAGGAUGGCAUCUGCUAUGGACCAAAUGUUUGUGUCCCCCCAAAAUCCAUAUGUUGAAACACUAAUUCCCCCACUAAUUCCAUAUGUGAUGGUAUAUGGAGAUGAGUAUAUGGAUGGUAUCUGGAGAUGAAGCCUUUGGAAGGUAAUUAAGUCAUGAGGGUGGAGCCAUCUUGAUGGGAUUACUUCCUUGAUACGAAAAGAUACUAGAGAGCUUACUUCCUCUUUUUCAGCUCUCUGCCAUGUGACGAUACAAGAAAAUAGCCAUGUACAAACCAGGAAGUGAUUUCUCACCAGACGCUGUCCUUCUGGUACCUUGGUCUUGGACAUCCUGUCUGUGAGAAAUAAAUGUUUAUGGUCCGAGCCUCUCUAUGUCUGUGUAUACUAUUAUAGCAGCCCGAGCUGACUAAGACCACAACCAAGAGACCUUUAGGUUGUAUUAUGAGCAGCAGGCUGUUUAUUUUCUAGUUCACAUAUCUUUGGUGGGUCACUGGAUGACGUACAAACUUUGCUGGCUUUGCCUUCUCUCCCACCAGGGUGAGCAUCCGUCAGCAACAGUGCAGUGGUGAGGCACCUCUCAGCCCUCUCUGAGUGCUUGGUUGACGUCCUGGCAUGCAGGGGCCCUGCACCUGGCUCACCACGGUGAUGCCUGUGUUCUUGUCCGGUCCGAGGAAUCAGGGCUGCCGCUGUCCUCUCCUUGUGUGCUUCUCUUUGCCCUUCCAGGCAACCCUGAUUUGCUGCCCUUUAUUCAUGGGAAUAAGUGAGUGUGUGUGGGAGUGCUUGGGGGAGUGUUGUCCAGGACACUUGGCCACUGGUCACGUACCUUUACUCAGGAGACAGGCCAGGCCUGUGUGGGGGUGCUGAAAGAGCAUGGGCUCUGAAGUUAGACUGCCUGCGUUCAAGUUCCAGCUUUGUGACCUGAGAGCAGUUGCUAAGGCUCUCUGUGCCUCUGUCUCCCCAUCUAUAAAAAGUGGGAUGAUUAUAAUAUUACUCAUCUCAUAAGAUUAUGUGAUAAGUAGGUAAACGUGAAGGACAGUGCUUGGCACUUAGUAAGCACUUAAUACAUGGUGCCUGUUAUGAUUUCACAGGUGUUGACACAAAACUACUUACCUUGGCCUUUCCAUUUCCAGCGCGGAAACAGAUUCUUCUCCAUGUUUAGACUCUUUUGUUUUUAUGUGAGGGGAGGUGACAAUACUGGGAAGAGAAAAAGGGCUUAUUUUACUGACCUGGAGUCAAGCAGCUGCAGGGGCCCAUGACCGGGGAGCAAUGCCAGGAAAGGAGAUCUGGGUCCCAAGAAGUUGAUACCAAGUCUCCCAGAUUGACCAGCUGGUCUGUGGAUAUCUAGGCCCCUGCCCGCUCCCAUGUACCCUUACUUUCUUGCCCUUCUAUGGGUGUGACUGCCUGUGAGGAGCUGAGGAUGAAAAAAACAGGGAGAAGAGGCAGGGGUCAGUUUGGGUGUUUAUUAACUAAAGAACAGAUCUUGACCUAUCUAUGGGUUCUACGUAUUCCUUCUACCUGCACAUCCAUCGCGCCUUCCCCUCCCCCGCCUAGCCGCUGGCACCAAACUAUCAACAAAGGAUUGCUUGUAUGUUGGGUUUUUAAGGAAAGAAAAGUCCUAGAUUCGCACAUUUGUAAAGAAAAAAUUAUCUGGCCCAUAUCUUUGCCUGCCGUUGUCAACAGCAAAUCAGUGGCUUCCAAAGUUUCCCCAACCACAAAAAGCUGACCUUCCCAGCUCCAGCUUUCCGAGUAAGGUGAGACUGACCUCAGAGUUUUGUAUUUAUCAUUGGAUUUUGCCAAACAAGCCAGCUUAACGAAAAACAUGGAAUUGAGACCAUCUUCACAGGCCAAAACCUGAACAGUAACGAGAACAGAAACUUGGCGAUUGGGGCUCCAUUUGUUUCUGAAAUCCUUCUCUUGUCCUCUCCCUCCCUUCCCCCAGGAGUGUUUAAACCAUUGAAUAAAGAUUUCAUUCAAAGGGAACUGAUUGGCUCUCCCACAAAGCGGGCGGGAGAUGCGUCAUCUGGCGUCAGCAGCCUCACCGAGGGGAGGAAGGUGGUGUUACUGGCACCUUUUAUGUCAGGAGAUCAGCUUUCCCUUUUGGCUGACAGUGUUUUGUUAUUAGAGUUUGUUUAAAACUGGAGUCCUUAGGGUCCCUUUCUGAAUAACACUAUCAGCAUCUUUCUAAGCAGCAAAAGAUGUUUCUUUCCCUACUUCAGAUCUGGCCUUAAAAAAAACCAGACCCUAUCUGUUGGCUUGUUUUGGUCUUUUAGACAACAGAGUUUUCAGACUUUUUGAAGUUUUAGAAAUUUCACCUUAAAAAUAAUGAGAACCUUGAUUAAAAGACGUUUCAAAGAUAUAAGGCAAAUAUUCGUGAAGCACAAAGUACAGCUCUCUGUAGACAAUAAUCUAUGUUAAAAAGGGACCCUAAGAGUGAUAACUUAAUAAAAUAUUAGGGUGGUAAGUUUGGAGAUGGAGGUUAAGGGGCUGUAAUAAAAUUCUUUAUUUCAUUUAUUGCGAUUUUAUUGCUAUGCUCUUGCCCCCCAGGGAACUGUGAGGAAUAUGGAGAGAGAUGGAAAACAGGUAUGACUUUGGAGGUGUAAGUUUUAGCAGGUGGUGGGAUGGCGGUGUCUUUAGCUGGAAAAGAAGGAAUCGAUUUGGGGAUAGAGGAUGGUAAUAAUAUAUUGGACGCGUUGAGUGUAUGUGCCUGGACGACAUCUUCCACCCAAACAUAGACUCCGUGGAGACAGCAAGAUGUCUCGUGUAUGUUUGUAUCUAGAACACUUAUUACCCAAUAAAUGUCUGAUAAAUAGUUGAAUUAAUGAAUUAAUGAUGUCACGUGGAAAUGUUUACCACACAGGUGGGAAAGUAAAUCUGAUACUCCAGGGAAGACCGGGAUCUAAUGAUCCUGAGAAAAUCCACAGAGACAUUACAAUUGGAGCCCUGGGAGCAGAUACAUUGAUGAUAUGAGUGAUUGGUUCCUUUCAUACUGAAAUCAAUUGGCUUGAACUUCUUUUCGUAAGGCUCCGGACGUGCAGGCUUAGCAGCCAUGGCUCAUGGGCCCAGACGCUCUGCGGCAUGUGGGAUCUUCCCGGACCGGGGCACGAACCCGUGUCCCCUGCAUCGGCAGGCGGACUCUCAACCACUACGCCACCAAGGAAGCCCUACAGUCUCUUGUGUGUUCUCCCUUCCUCAAACCCUUGGCCACUUAGGGCAGCACCCCGGUUCCCUCACUCCCCAGAUCACCACUGACGGACGACCACACUGCAAAGCCUUUAUUGAGUCAAAGAAGCACAAGCAACUGCUUCUAGAUGUCUGCACUCAAGCUUGGUUGGCUCCUGACAUGUCCUUAGUUGACUCUGACCCCAUGGACCACAACCACCAGGAUAACGGCAUCAUCUGGCAACGGUGCUGACUACAGACUUAGGAAAACGCAAGAUAUUUAAAAAUCAGUAACUAUAAAAAUCAGUCCAAGCUCCACUCCUCUUGCAAAAUACCCCCAGUCUGCAAACAGUCCUCCCUGAACAGAGUUUGAACAAGAGCUCUGUCUGGAGUUGCAUUCUUGCUUACACCCCAGAAGGGCACAUCCUGAACAGCCACCUAUAAGAAAAGGAAGUCUUUCACUGAGACCUGGGGAAUGGAGUGUAUUUGAAAAUCCCUUGGUGUUUU